rnacentral:rRNA from 1 species
CCUACGGGAGGCAGCAGUGAGGAAUAUUGGUCAAUGGACGAGAGUCUGAACCAGCCAAGUAGCGUGAAGGAUGACUGCCCUAUGGGUUGUAAACUUCUUUUAUAUGGGAAUAAAACAGGGUAUGCAUACCCUCUUGUAUGUACCAUAUGAAUAAGGAUCGGCUAACUCCGUGCCAGCAGCCGCGGUAAUACGGAGGAUCCGAGCGUUAUCCGGAGUUAUUGGGUUUAAAGGUAGCGUAGGUGGAUUGUUAAGUCAGUGGUUAAAUGUCGGUGCUAAACACCGGCCUGCCGUUGAGACUGGUCUUCUUGAGUGAGCGAGAAGUAUGCGGAAGGCGUGGUGUAGCGGUGAAAUGCAGAGAUAUCACGCAGAACUCCGAUGGCGAAGGCAGCAUACCGGCGCUCAACUGACGCUGAGGCACGAAAGCGUGGGGAUCGAACAGGAUUAGAUACCCGAGUAGUC